UGAAAAGAGAGAUGUGACUGGAUAAUCUU
rnacentral:piRNA from 1 species